rnacentral:piRNA from 1 species
AGACAGAAGCACGUGUAAAAGCCAC